GAGUACUCCAGUCACACCGCAAGCCCUCCGAGGACUGAUGUCCACAGGGAUCCCAGUUGACUCCAAAGGCCAACGUCUUUAUAGAGUCUACUCAGCAUUUAACCCAGGGGCUCCCUGCCCCCCAGGAUACUUCUGCCGUGAGUGUGUCCUUGGGCUCCGCGCUCAGCCCAACUCGCCCUCCUGUCCCAGGACUGCAGACAGAUCUGAUUCCUCUGGCUUGCACCUGUGCCCCUGAGCAGGUGGGAGGAAGCCAGAGGGAAGAGAGGUGCCCCGGUAGAGUCAGGCCUGAGGCAAGAAGGCUUGCAGGGGGGUGUGGUUAAAGUACACUUUGGGCAUUUGCUGUGGCUUGGGUUGUUUGGUGGGGACAGCUAAGAGUCAAUGACAAUGACCUGGUUGCAUCUGGAGCCUUGUCAGCUGUCAGUGUUCUGAGCCCUGGUGAUGUUUCAUCAGCUGCAGGGGAAGGGCCUGUGCCAGGCUGGCAGAGGGGCUGGGCAGCAGAGGGUCCUCUAGAUCUGUGAUCUCAUGGGCUGUCCAGUGCUCUGAGGCUGAGCCUGCUCCUGCUGCCCAUGAGGAGUCUCUGCUCCCUGUACCUGUGGGCUCUCUUUAGCCAGGUGACGCUCCCUCCCUGUGCCCCCAGCUGCAGGAUCACACAAGCCCACGGCCUGUCCCGCCGGCACCUUCUCCAGCCUCCCUGAGCAAACCAUGCUCUCUGCAUGCCAGUCCUGCCCACCGGGCUUCUACUGCAAGGAGGCUGGUCUCCAGGCCCCCAGUGGGCAGUGCCCGGCAGGCUAUUACUGUGACUCCAGCGCUGGGCCCAUCCAGGACUUCAGCUUGUACCCUUGUCCCCGGGGACAUUACUGCCCCCUGGGCACAGCCAGGGCCACGCACUACAGCUGCCCAGUGGGCACAUAUGGCCCUUGGAAGGGGCUGACCAGAGUCACCGGGUGCCAACCCUGCCCUGCUGGGAAAUUCUGUGCACUGGCUGGACUCACAGCACCAACAGGAGACUGUGCUGCAGGGCACUGGUGCAAGGGAGGAGCCGCCAUCAAGGACCCCACCGACAGGGCACGAGGGCUCCUCUGCCCGCCUGGACACUACUGCCUCAAGGGUACCUCAUUCCCGGAGGGCCCCUUGCGUCUCUCCUAGCCUUCUGCUGGCUUGGGGCUCUGAGCCCUGCUUCCCACACAGGCACAAUGGGCACCAAACGCUUACUCUGGACACCUCCCCACUGCUCAGCAGCCCCACCCUCCCAUCCUCAAAACCUCCCC
rnacentral:lncRNA from 1 species